ensembl:lncRNA
GGGGAGCGGCGCGGGGUGCGAGGCCGGCAGGCCGCGGUGCUGUGGGGAGAGCCUCCCCGUCUGCUUCCACAGCGUGGUCGGUGACAAUGGAGGGGUCGGGGAGGUUUCCCCUCAGAGAGCCGCACUGAAGCCGUCACGGCGCAGAAGUACCUCCGCUCGAAGAGAGAGGUUCCCUCUCAUGAUCUCCCUCCAGGCUCUCAUAUUUAUGGAGAUUCCAGCGAGCACUCCACCCUACUCCUUCUCAGUGCAAGAUGUGACACGGAGCCUUACACGGCCGUCACGUGGGCGAUUGCCGCAUCUCAGCUGUGGAGCUCUCCCCGCUGCCCCUGCCAGGCUCACAGGCGUGUGCUUCACUGGACACGCGAACGACCGGUGCGGGACAGACGUGUGUUUAUGUAGGCAGAGUCCACAAAAUCUCUCGGUAGGGCAGCGUGUGGGAAUAGCAUAGGAGGAGCGAGGUGAUUCUCGGAAAGCAAGAGGAAGUUGUGAGCAUGCUUGUGUUCUCGACAAGUAGCUGGACAGGGCUGGGCUGGAGCUCUACUGGAGUGCAGUGUGUGCGGGUUCCCUGCCUGCCGUUGGCACGCUGCUCCGUUCCUUUCCCUCUGCACUGGCAGAGUUCUGCAGACCGAAAGUAUGACCGAGUGGCCAGGAUGGGGAUUUUCUUUCUGAAUCUUAAAAACAACGGUCCUGCAUUUCGACUAAAUGUCAGAAAGGCUCUGUAUUAAGCUCUGCAUUACACAACUGAUUCCUUAACAAUAGGACUUUCAUUGACCUUUAAAAUUGUGCAAUGUAGAGGACUCUUACGUUCAUACAGUGAAGUUUUACCUAUAGCGCUGGCUCAUGGACCUCUUACUGGCCUAAGAUACACGCUGAGGUUUGUCACGGGGUGCAUUUUCAUCCCUGUUUUGUCCUUAGAUGCUGAUUUAACACUGGGGUUAUCCCCCCCCCAACUGUUCUGGUGCCUUCCAUCUACUCCAACAUUUAAAGAAUUUCACUCACUCGCACGUGGAACGUUGCUGGGAUGUUUGAGAAAGGAGCUGAACAAAGCAGUGUUCAGAACGGUAUGGGGCAGAGCAGGGCUCACCAGGCUUUGCUGGCCGGGACAGCGAAACUGAAGUGCUGCACCACUUUCAAGGAGGAGAAUUUGGGCCAAGGAUUCAGCGACGGACAUCUGAAGAACUCAGAAAAAAACAACAACCAAGGGAUGGGGAAAACAGAACAAAGGAAGAGACCGGCUCCCUUUCACAGCCACCUCCUUCUCUUACGGCUCCUCAGCAGACACGUGAGCGAGCUCCUGCGGGGUGGGUGCCACGCGCACUGAGAGCAGAGUGCUGCAGACCCGUGCUCCGAGCAGGCGGCAGACGGACAGGAGCAGCGCUGCCUGACUCCGGGCUGACCCAGGAACCCAAGAUUUUUGGCAUACUGGUCUUGACCUCUCCUUUCUGUCCUGUCAGCUGUUAUUUCCCAGUGCCCUUGGAUAGGCUGAAUUUGCUCUUCCUCGCGGCCUUUAUAUAGUUCCCCCCUCCCCAUACUUCUGUUAGGCUUUUAGAUCUUUGGGCGAAUCUUGGAACUGCGGAUUAAAAUCCCACAUCUCAGCUUUUAUGAAAAGAUUUGCCGAGGUCUGGGUGUUGCUGGCAGCCUGAUAUUCUGCACCAUUUACCGGCUGUGAAUUAUGUAGAUACUCAUAUUUUUAAUUUCCUUUCAUUUAGUUGUGUGUGCAGGACCUCUGUCAUGACCAGCAGGGAACUCUCCUGGGUACAAAGAGGCUAUUCAGCUCCUGUGCCAACCCUGGCUCGUAAAAGCCUGACAGCUCUCAACAAACAAAGCCUAGAAAUGUUGCUAUUAAAAGCAUUUAUUGAAUAAAUCCAUAUGUGACAAAAUGAUAGCUGCAAAAAGCGGUGGAAUUGUUUUUUAAUGGAUAAAUCUUAUUUGAAAAGUAAAGCAGAGCUGCAGAAGCUCAGAGAACAGUCACCUGAGGAUAGAGCUUUGAGCAACGUGGGAAAAAUUAGAACCACUCUGAACAAUAUAGGAGAUAAUAGUUUGCAGAACAUGUCUGCUUUGAGUGGGAGCUUUUAUGUAAAGAAAAGAGAGGAUAAGCCUGGCUUUAACUUUUGUGUUUGAACGCUCUCACAAAUAGAGGUAGGAGAGCAAAUCUUCAUUCCCUUCAGCAAACCCACAGCAGCUGGAAACAGGAGGACCCCUGUUCUGCAUAGGGUCGGUGGGCUGCAAAGGGCACCGUGGGCAGACCCCUGUCUCCCAGCCAGCUGCGUGGUGGGCUG